UCUAUUUUUCUGAUCAUGAAGUCAAGACAGGCCGACUAUGGGAAAUUUGAGACCAAAAGAAAAGCGAAACGGACUAGCAUGGCUUCCAGCGGGGUUGUAGUGAGCACUGCGGCCGUCGCAAAUGAGGCUCCUGAAAUUCCGGACAACGUGGGAGAUUGGCUACGGGGCGUCUAUCGCUUUGCUACCGAUAGGAAUGAUUUCCGGAGGAACUUGAUCCUUAAUUUGGGACUCUUUGCUGCGGGAGUUUGGCUGGCCAGGAACUUGAGUGACAUUGACCUUAUGGCACCUCAGCCAGGGGUGUAGCCAAGUAGACAAAUGGAAUCCUGUGCUGCACCCGAACCUUCCAAAAACAGAGCCUACAAUUUGUGACCACCACAAGAUAUGUCCUGAUGGCAGCUGAAAUGUGAUUCUCAUGGGCACUUUCCUGUUCCCUGCUUGGUUUCCUUUUGUUCCCAAGUCCACUCAGAACUCCAUUCUCUGGUCAGCAGUCAGGCUUCAGCUAAAGCAUUGUCUCUGUUCUGUAAAGUUCUGUACAUAGUUUCUAAGUUUCUGCAGAGGGUGAUCUUUGCUCCUGUCCUGAGGAAUAACAAUGGUGUUUUAACAAAUAUUUGAAAUAAACACUAUACACAAUAAAAAAAAAAAAGAAAAGAAAA